rnacentral:rRNA from 1 species
CAAUAGCGUAUAUUUAAGUUGUUGCAGUUAAAAAGCUCGUAGUUGGAUUUCGGAUGGGACUUGCCGGUCCGUCGUUUCGAUGUGCACUGGCCAGUCCUAUCUUGUUGUCGGGGACUAGCUCCUGGGCUUCACUGGCCGGGACUAGGAGCUGACGAGGUUACUUUGAGUAAAUUAGAGUGUUCAAAGCAAGCCUACGCUCUGAAUACAUUAGCAUGGAAUAACACGAUAGGACUCUGGCUUAUCUUGUUGGUCUGUGAGACCAGAGUAAUGAUUAAGAGGGACAGUCGGGGGCAUUCGUAUUUCAUUGUCAGAGGUGAAAUUCUUGGAUUUAUGAAAGACGAACUUCUGCGAAAGCAUUUGUCAAGGAUGUUUUCAUUAA